rnacentral:rRNA from 1 species
UACGGGGGGGCAAGCGUUGUUCGGAAUUACUGGGCGUAAAGGGCGCGUAGGCGGCCUGUUAAGUCGAACGUGAAAUCCCCGGGCUCAACCCGGGAACUGCGUCCGAUACUGUCAAGCUCGAGUCCGGAAGAGGAGUGUGGAAUUCCUGGUGUAGCGGUGAAAUGCGCAGAUAUCAGGAGGAACACCAAUGGCGAAGGCAGCACUCUGGGACGUGACUGACGCUGAGACGCGAAAGCGUGGGGAGCAAACAGG